AGUUUCAAUCUACAUCUGUCUUUCAUAGUGUUGAACAUUUCCCGAUCGCGAAACGUGGAAAACAGUAAAACGUAUUAUUCUACAUUUCACGUGACGCAUCGUGGUGAUAUAGAGAAAAUGCUACCCGAAAUACUCGAUAUCGAUCCAAUGGCAACCCGGGUCUACGGAAUGUCACGAUCAAUAACGCCGCGAGCAUAAUCCCGUCCUUGUCGUCGCCCAACAUAUCUCUACUGUUGGCAGAACGCGAAUUCCGCUCUCUCGUUGUUUACGCGUUCCGAUUCGUGUCUGGUCGGGACAUCCGAGCACUUCAUCGAUCGCAUGCACAGAAUAAAAGUACAGUCGUAUAUUUUACGCCGCUUGAUGCUCCGCGUCGAUGGUCGCUUCGCUUUAAAGCAGUUGUGUCGCGGUUCAUACAAUGAACGAAAAUGAAGAGAUCGCACGAUGUCUGUAUCAACCGACUGCGUAUGAGGUAUAUACAGUACUUAGAGGAGCAACGCACGAGGGACGAGAGGAAUCAUAAGCUCCUCUCAGCAUUGGAUAAAGUCACGAACAAACUUGCGCUGAUAAGCGCCAAAAAAGACAGACUCAAUGUUCUUAGAAAACAAUACGAGGCUUAUCUGCUUCGCGUUUAUGCCAAUCGCCGGCCACCCGGUAGCAUCACCGGGGACAGUGGCAUUGCCAGUCAAGAGGAUAGAGGCUCGCGGAAGACCAUCGCAACGACGCGGCCCGAUUUAGCGGCCACGGAAACGAGAGACGUUUCGUCACCGCGAACACAUCGGGCGCCUCUUCAAUCAAACCAGUCAAGGUCUAUCCCGGCGUCCAAAUUCCACGAUCAGAGUCCAGUAAACAGCACUUUACUGAAUAACCCUACCCUAUUGCAAACUACGCCAUUAGAUACACCCCUCGGUGUCGAUUAUCAUCAGCCAAGCGUCUUACGGACGCCUCGUGUCUACGUUUCGCCGGUCAGCCAAUCGGGUGAGCAGCUUGCCCAGGUGCCAGCAAUUCCCACAGCUGACAUACGGCAACACUCGCGGACGAUUCCCGAUUACGGCGGAAACGCGCCGGGCGAUCUUCAGGAUGUCGAAAACCUUCGCAAAUUUUCGUACACGCAUUCGACCGCACCGGCUUUGGUAAUGCCGUUCUCGGAGCCGUUUCCAAUUGAUGCGACUCUCGUUAAUCAGCUCCUCAGGCAGCACAUGGGAUCGCUGCAUGCUGCACCAGGUCAGUCGACAAGCGCUCAGUUCCCCGCCGGAGACGCGGCGCAAAGCGAAACCGUGCUCUCGCAUCCUCCGCGACAAUUCGAUCCUUCGACCUUCGUGCAACCAUUUCAGUAUGGCGUCGCGAACGUGUUACUUCCCGAUCAGCAAGUACGAACAAGAGAACACGUUCCGUCCGACUUCCGAGCAGCCACUUUCGCGGCCGCCAAACCGGACGCGUAUCCGACAUCGAUGAUCCCCGAGACAAAUAUCGUUAAUCAAGUCAGACCGCUUCCCGGGUACAUGGACUACACCCUAAGGAGCCCGCAGAAGUCCGAGGACGAAGGAUCUAUUACUCGUUCUCUCACCAGCGACGACAUGGACGACCUGAUCAAGCGCAACCAUCUUUUAUGGGGAAAUGCGGAUAUCGUCAAGUCACCGCGCCGAAUGUCGGCCGUCUUGGCCGCGAGCAACGCUAAUUUAGAGGAGAAUGGCAGGACGACGGCGAUAUUGGAGAACGAGCUGGACAGAUACAUCAGCAAUAUCCGGAAGCUUCAUCGAGAGCAUGGUGUGCCGAGCCAAGAGGAACUGGACCAUGAGCAGAACACCAGCGGGGACUUGCUGAACGUCACUUUGUCAGAGGACGCUCAGGAGUUACCUGCCGAGGACAAAGUGAGGAAAGAGCGAAUACCUGAAGAAAUGGGCAGGAUCUUGGCAUUGGCUAGUGAUCUUGCCUCCAGAACAACGGACUCGAGGGAUAUUGCGUAUCCAGCAGAGCGGGAUGGCAGCGACGUACCUGCGGAAAUCGAAGACCAAGUGAGACAUCGAACCGAUAAGCGCAGUGAUGCGCCAACAGUGGAAGAAGAACGCGAUGUAUUUGCGGAUGGAAGCGAGAGACACGAUACCGCGGCCUUCACGACUGGGAACGAAAUUAGAGAAGACGUUGCGACACCCACAACGAAAUUAGAACAGCCUCACGAAGACACGAGGACUGCAAGAGAAAACUGGAAUAAUGAUGAUUUAGCUGAGUCUAGCGCGAAGGAUGAUGGCGUCGCGAGGGAGGAAACAACUGUAUCGUCGAGCAGCGGAUUACCGGACGACGAUUUGAAGAACGUAGCGAGAGAGAAACAGCUCGAUCUCGUUACCGGUGAGGAAUUGAAUGUUGACGGCAUAUUCGACACAGUCGAGGAACUGGCGCCGUGGGACCUCGCGAGUGUGCAGAAGAGCGUUUAUGAGUUACGCUCGGAUGAUCCGGAUAAAGAGCGAGCAAUAGAACAACAAGUCGAAGAGACGACAAAUGACGGGAUCGCCGAGAUAAUCGCGAGCGAAACGUCACGGGUCAUCGAGCAAAGCAACGUGAACGGCGAAGACAAAGACUCGCAUUUGCCACGGGAUACGUUUCCUCCGUCGGAGACAAAGAGAUCAAGUGAGAACGAAACAGAAUCCCAUGAGAAAAACGAAACAGAUGUCCGUGUCGAGGAAGCGGAAGUCUCGGGAAUUUUGAGCGGAGAUCAACACCAGGGAAGUGAAACCGACGAACCCGCUGUUACUGUACGUUCGACAAUUGAGAAACUCGACGAAGCGCAAGAUGAAGGCGACAGCGAGGAACAAGGCGACGAGACGUCGAAAGUGCAGGUCGACGAUCAAGCCGAAAAUGCACGACAAGAAAAAUACAACGUCGAGCCGGGAUACGUCGAGGAUCCGAAUCAGGUGCAACAGUAUGAAGAGCCGAGCGGACACUAUGGUUACGAUCAAAAUGUGCCGUAUGAAAGCGCUAGUCACGAGGAGUACGAAAGGUAUGGCGAGCAAAGAUACGCCCAAGAGGGCCAGGAGUACGUGGAGUACGUGGACAGCCAAUACGAGCAGUAUGCUGGAGACCCGAACGAUCAACAGCAGUACCAGCAUGAUCCUAACGCGCAGUACGAGCAGGAUCCGAACAGCCAACAGCAGUAUCAUCAUGAUCCCAAUGUCCAAUACGAGCAAAAUCCAAAUCAAGCCUACGACUACGGCUACGACCAGCAGUACGAGCCUGGUCAAGGAUACGAGGGCGAUCCUAAUCAGACGUACGAGUACACCGAGCAUGCUUAUGACCCUGAUCAAAGGUACGAUGGCGCGUACGAACAAGAGUACAAGGCGGAGCAACAGAAUCCCGAAGAUAACGUUGUCAUUGACGAGAACGCAGGUCGCGAAGAGCAAUCAGAAACGGAAGGAGCGUCCUUGCAGAAACAGCAAGAGCUGCAGUUGGAGCAGAAAGCGGACGAGGACAAAGCGCAGCGAACGGACGGCGUUGAGGGAACAGCACAGUCGAAGAAAAAGAAGGACGUAAUCAAGUCCUUGCUGGAUUCCGACACGGAUACGACGAUCGAGAGGAACGUCUCGAAUACAGAGAGUGAUUUUGAUUUUAAUUAACACGCAGAACGUGUGUCGCAUCGGUGGAGACCCAGCGCGGGCGGCUGAGGAGCUGAACUUUGUAAACUUUGUAACCACUUUCCGUUGACGAGACGGAAGAUCGUUGACUGAGCUCCCUGCUGGGUCUGGACGCUAAGAGAAAUGUAUUUCGAGCGCAGACGGUGAUUUUCAUUUUAAUUACAUCUUUAAUUAAAGUGCGCGAGUCGCGUGGCGAACAGCGCAGUUGGUGAAUUCCGUCGCAAGAGUCCUGUUUGUUACCAGAAUUGUUACCCUGCUUUAGGAUGUAGGACAUUUCGCGCUCAUGUGCAAUAAACAAUUAAACACCA
rnacentral:misc_RNA from 1 species